UACGUAGGGGGCAAGCGUUGUCCGGAAUCAUUGGGCGUAAAGAGCGUGUAGGCGGCCCGAUAAGUCCGCUGUGAAAGUCCAGGGCUCAACCCUGGAAUGCCGGUGGAUACUGUCGGGCUCGAAUCCGGAAGAGGUGAGUGGAAUUCCUGGUGUAGCGGUGAAAUGCGCAGAUAUCAGGAGGAACACCUGCGGCGAAGGCGGGUUGCUGGGCUGACACUGACGCUGAGGCGCGAAAGCUAGGGGAGCGAACGGG
rnacentral:rRNA from 1 species